rnacentral:snRNA from 1 species
UCAAAAAUAUGGAACGUUCCAAAAUUGGAACGAUACAGAGAAGAUUAGCAUGGCCCCUGCGAAAGGAUGACACGCAAAUUCGUGAAGCGUUCCAUAUAUCU